rnacentral:rRNA from 1 species
UACAGAGGUCUCAAGCGUUGUUCGGAAUCACUGGGCGUAAAGGGUGCGUAGGCCGCACGGUAAGUCAGAGGUGAAAUCCCGGAGCUCAACUUCGGAAUUGCCUCCGAUACUGCCGUGCUUGAGGACUGGAGAGGAGUCUGGAAUUCACAGUGGAGCAGUGAAAUGCGUAGAUAUUGUGAGGAACACUAGUGGCGAAGGCGAGACUCUGGACAGUUCCUGACGCUGAGGCGCGAAAGCUAGGGGAGCAAACAGG